rnacentral:misc_RNA from 1 species
UGAUUUGGAUAAUUUGAUUGGAAAAUAUCAGGAAGCGCUGAAGAAUAUCCAACUCCAUUAGUACCAACCGCAUGACUAACUCCCAGAUUCUGUGCAUUGAGGUUAUUCAAGUGUUGGAAGUUGGACAUUGUAGCCAGAAAUUGCUGAUGAGCAAGAAAAUUCCCCAUAGCACCAUAAUUUACAUGCUGCGUAUGAAAUGCAGGAUUCAACAUAAAGCCAGGAGGUAUAUUCUGUUGCAUAGUACCAGAAGGAAAUAUUGAAUUUG